GAGAGUUUGAUCCUGGCUCAGGACGAACGCUGGCGGCGUGCUUAACACAUGCAAGUCGAGCGAUGAAGCUUCCUUCGGGAAGUGGAUUAGCGGCGGACGGGUGAGUAACACGUGGGUAACCUGCCUCAAAGUGGGGGAUAGCCUUCCGAAAGGAAGAUUAAUACCGCAUAAUAUAAGAGAAUCGCAUGAUUUUCUUAUCCAAAGAUUUAUGGCUUUGAGAUGGACCCGCGGCGCAUUAGCUAGUUGGUAAGGUAACGGCUUACCAAGGCAACGAUGCGUAGCCGACCUGAGAGGGUGAUCGGCCACAUUGGAACUGAGACACGGUCCAGACUCCUACGGGAGGCAGCAGUGGGGAAUAUUGCGCAAUGGGGGAAACCCUGACGCAGCAACGCCGCGUGGGUGAUGAAGGUCUUCGGAUUGUAAAGCCCUGUUUUCUAGGACGAUAAUGACGGUACUAGAGGAGGAAGCCACGGCUAACUACGUGCCAGCAGCCGCGGUAAUACGUAGGUGGCGAGCGUUGUCCGGAUUUACUGGGCGUAAAGGGUGCGUAGGCGGAUGUUUAAGUGGGAUGUGAAAUCCCCGGGCUUAACCUGGGGGCUGCAUUCCAAACUGGAUAUCUAGAGUGCAGGAGAGGAAAGCGGAAUUCCUAGUGUAGCGGUGAAAUGCGUAGAGAUUAGGAAGAACACCAGUGGCGAAGGCGGCUUUCUGGACUGUAACUGACGCUGAGGCACGAAAGCGUGGGUAGCAAACAGGAUUAGAUACCCUGGUAGUCCACGCCGUAAACGAUGGAUACUAGGUGUAGGGGGUAUCAACUCCCCCUGUGCCGCAGUUAACACAAUAAGUAUCCCGCCUGGGGAGUACGGUCGCAAGAUUAAAACUCAAAGGAAUUGACGGGGGCCCGCACAAGCAGCGGAGCAUGUGGUUUAAUUCGAAGCAACGCGAAGAACCUUACCUGGACUUGACAUCCCUUGCAUAGCCUAGAGAUAGGUGAAGCCCUUCGGGGCAAGGAGACAGGUGGUGCAUGGUUGUCGUCAGCUCGUGUCGUGAGAUGUUAGGUUAAGUCCUGCAACGAGCGCAACCCUUGUUAUUAGUUGCUACCAUUAAGUUGAGCACUCUAAUGAGACUGCCUGGGUAACCAGGAGGAAGGUGGGGAUGACGUCAAAUCAUCAUGCCCCUUAUGUCCAGGGCUACACACGUGCUACAAUGGUAGGUACAAUAAGACGCAAGACCGUGAGGUGGAGCAAAACUUAUAAAACCUAUCUCAGUUCGGAUUGUAGGCUGCAACUCGCCUACAUGAAGCUGGAGUUGCUAGUAAUCGCGAAUCAGAAUGUCGCGGUGAAUACGUUCCCGGGCCUUGUACACACCGCCCGUCACACCAUGAGAGAGCUGGUAACACCCGAAGUCCGUGAGGUAACCGUAAGGAGCCAGCGGCCGAAGGUGGGAUUAGUGAUUGGGGUGAAGUCGUAACAAGGUAGCCGUAGGAGAACCUGCGGCUGGAUCACCUCCUU
rnacentral:rRNA from 1 species